AGGCUUGUGAGGCUGACAAUUAAAUUGCAAAUGCGAGGAUAUGAAUAAGUGGAUGGAAAAUAAUGUGACGAGUAUUUUAUUAUUUUAUUGGCUGUGUCGUUAUAGGAAUUGACUGUCGUGUCGUAAAGUACUCGAACAUUAGAGAGACACCUGCGACAACUGUCUUGAGUUGGCUUUAGCUUUUGCUUUGGCUUUGAGAAAUAUUUCUUUGGAGACGAGGUCUUAUUUCUUGGGGUUUUAUGACUGUGCAGUUGUCAUAGUUGACACGACCGCUUUUCCGACGACGACGAUAACUUUUAGUUGAGAGGAUGAAUUUUGUAAAAAUUUUUGUUUAUUUAAAAUUUAAAUAAGUGAUGGUUGUCGAAAAAGGUGACUAAUUUUUACACCAUUGAUGUUUUCAUGUUUUUUUUCAUUGAUACUAAAAUUGAAGGAAUUUUAAUGACUUGGGCG